rnacentral:rRNA from 1 species
AUUGAACGCUGGCGGAAUGCUUUACACAUGCAAGUCGAACGGCAGCACGGGGCAACCUGGUGGCGAGUGGCGAACGGGUGAGUAAUACAUCGGAACGUGCCCAAUCGUGGGGGAUAACGUAGCGAAAGUUACGCUAAUACCGCAUACGAUCUACGGAUGAAAGCGGGGGAUCGCAAGACCUCGCGCGAAUGGAGCGGCCGAUGUCAGAUUAGGUAGUUGGUGGGGUAAAGGCUCACCAAGCCAACGAUCUGUAGCUGGUCUGAGAGGACGACCAGCCACACUGGGACUGAGACACGGCCCAGACUCCUACGGGAGGCAGCAGUGGGGAAUUUUGGACAAUGGGCGCAAGCCUGAUCCAGCCAUUCCGCGUGCAGGAUGAAGGCCUUCGGGUUGUAAACUGCUUUUGUACGGAACGAAACGGCUCUCUCUAAUACAGGGGGCUAAUGACGGUACCGUAAGAAUAAGCACCGGCUAACUGCGAGCCAACCGCCGCAGUAACAC